rnacentral:lncRNA from 1 species
ACAUCCAAUGCUCGUACCAUACAAUAUAUUUGCGAAAUGUACUUAAAUACGGCAUUUUUAAGAGAUACUCCUUCAGGUAAUCGACCUUCUUGAAAUGCCAACUGGUUGAUAUCUAUCAAUAAUGGGACUUGAUUCUCCUCUUCCACCGCAACACCACUUGGAACCCCUCCCGCUUCGAUAACCGGAGCUACCCCUUGAAUCACUGUACGACUUGAUU